GAACGCACAUUGCGCCUCCUGGUAUUCCGGGAGGCAUGCCUGUUCGAGCGUCAUUAUAACCCCUCAAGCCCAGCUUGGUGUUGGGGCCUGCUGUUGUCGGCAGCCCUUAAAAUCAGUGGUGGUGCCAUCUGGCUCUAAGCGUAGUAAUACUUCUCGCUACAGUGUCCCGGUGGAUGCCUGCCAUCAACCUCUAAAUUUCUACGGUUGACCUCGGAUCGGGUAGGGAUACCCGCUGAACUUAAG
rnacentral:misc_RNA from 1 species